ensembl:lncRNA
UGAACUAUUACAUCAGAUAAACAAAACCUGCAGCUAUCGUUGAGAGACAUCUUCACGCUUCAUCUUGUUUUGUUUGUGUACAGCCUGCGCGUGCGCGAAAUGUGUUUUGCGGCAGGUCCCGUCGCAUGACAUUUUUGACAAGUUUGUAUGUUGCCCAACCAAAAGCCCUGGUGUACAGGGCAGUUGUCCGCGAAGACUCCUCAAAGAACGCAAUGCUGCCUUCAGAUCCAGAGACACCGCGGCUGUAAGAGCCAGUCUGAAGAGAGGCAUCAGAGAUGCCAAAGCAGCUCACAAGAGGAGGAUUGGGACCACUUCAACAACAACAAGCCACGGAUGGCGUGGCAGAGCAUUCAGCAGAUCACUAGUUACAGAGGCAACAGUAGCAACGCUGCAGAUGGUGACACUUCACAGGCAGAGCACCUCAACUGUUUCUCUGUCCGCUUUGAGAUUAUGGACUUCCUGACCAACCGGCCUCAAAGAGGGAGAAUAGGCGCACUCAUCUCCUCCCAACUCCCACUCAGCGCUGGCGCCCCUCAGGGCUGUGUACUGAGUUCCCUGCUAUAUUCUCUUUCAAUUACGGCUGUACCACCACCUACCCUACCGACACCCUCGUCAGGUAUGCGGACCACACAACCAUUGUUUGUCCCAUCUCAGGGGGGAGGAGGAGGUCCGCAGACUGGUGGGGUGGUGCAAGGUCAACAACCUCAUCCUGAACACUUCCAAGACAAAGGAAAUAAUCAUGGACUUUCAUAGGAAAAGGGCAGACACGGAACCGCACCACAUUAACUGGGAAUGUGUGGAGAUGGUUCCUGUCUUCAAGUUCCUUGGCAAACACAUCACAGAGAACCUCUCUUGGUCUACCACUUCCCACCACAUGGUCAAGAAGGACCAGUAGCAACCGCACUUCCUGAGAAUACUCAGGAAAAACCCCACUAGAGGAAGAAACUGCUGUAGCGCUGCUCCAUCGAAAGCGUUCUGGCAAUCUGCAUAUCACCUUGGUAUGCCACUGCUCAGCAGCGGACAAGAAGGCCUUAAGUGCACAUGUAGUGUGAAUGUAAGGUUAAGCCCCUCUGAGGACUGUACACACUGUUUGCACGGUUUCUAUGCUACCUCAUUGUCACUUUAAGCAUGCACUGGGGAAUGUAUUUGAAUGUGUGUGUGAGGAUGUGGGGAUGUGGGAGGG